UUUUUCUGCUUUUACCUCUUUUCAUAUUAUUGUAUUGAAAUAUGAAUCUAUUGCUCAAGAAACGAUUUGAAUAUUGAGGUUUCCUUGUAUGUAGCUUUUAGUGGAUAAUUUUAACCAUUCAAUAUUUUUAUGGUCUUUUCUUGUCUGAUAUCUUUUAAAACCUUCACUCUCUUACUCAAUUUGUACCACAUUCUGAUUUUGCAGAGAGGAAAUGAUAACUCAGGGGUAGAAUUGAGACCAUAUGAUGCUGGGAUAGACUUUGUUUCUGAAUGUAGUGGGUUUGUAUUGAUGGCCUCUGUAGGAUCGUCGAUAAGCAUUUGAAGGCAUUGGCACCAAGGCAUUUGGAGACCAAGUUCAUCAAGAUGGAUGCUGAGAAUGCGCCCUUCUUUGUUGCCAAACUAGCAAUCAAGACGUUGCCUUGUGUUAUAUUGUUCAGUUAUGGCUAGCAUUCCAGCACAUUGUCCUUCUUCAUCUUUUUUGAAGUUUGGUUUUCAUUCAAGGCACUUCUUAUAGGAAUCAUAUGAUCCACAGCUUGAAGAUAUGCAUAAGAUCAUCAGCUUGACUAGGGCCAUGUUUCAAUGAUCCAAACUGUUGAUUUGGUGGCCUCUGCUACAGACGUGGAUGCCACCAAUUUAAGGAUUGGGAACUUGGGAUAUCCAAUCUUGAGAUUUGGCACAUGCUCCAUAGUUCAUAGACAUUGGGCCAAUCAGAUCAACAACCUUGAUUAAUAAAGAAUGGACCGCACUACAAUGUAAAGAGAUUUACUUGAGAGAUUGGGCCUAUGAGCAUUAGGAAUAUCUAGAAUCAUGAAAACAUUGACUUGAUCUGUAGCUAUUACAUCCAUCGCUAUAUGGUUUUGCCAAGUUCUUACACUAUUCCACAUGGAGGUGGGCGUGCUAAAAUGUGCCACAUGUGCAAGUUCCCAGCCACUCACAAGUAGGGAUCCAUUUAGAUGUCUGGCCCAUAAGUCUCGCCAGUCCACUCAUCAAGUGGCCAGAUGUUGGGCAGAUGUUGUGCCCAACUGAGGAGGGAACUGAUCUGGUUUUCUUGCCAGUGCAUCUAUGAAGUGGGGCCUGCCUGAUGAAUGGCUUGGAUCUUGCACAUGUACCACGUGUUGGCACAUCGAACUGUCUUCCUGGGCUGGUAUGUGGGGGCUUAGCAGAACUUCCCAUCAUGUGCUUCCUUGAGUUAGAUAACUGAAUGAUUUUCUAGUAAUUUUCUCUGCUUAUCGACAAGUUUCUAGAACCAACAGUGUCCUUUGUCUAACCUUCAAUCUCCACCAUGACUUAGAGGUUGAAACAUGACCCUUGGCCUACUUUACUCAGUAGCUAUUCAUGUAUUUUAGAUUACUCCAUGGCUAUUUUAUGAGCUUGUAGCAGAUGUUUCGUCUUUUAGAUC